rnacentral:rRNA from 1 species
AUUGAACGCUGGCGGCAUACCUUACACAUGCAAGUCGAACGGCAGCACGGGUGCUUGCACCUGGUGGCGAGUGGCGAACGGGUGAGUAAUACAUCGGCACGUACCUUAUCGUGGGGGAUAACGCAGCGAAAGUUGCGCUAAUACUGCAUAAGCCCUGAGGGGGAAAGCGGGGGACCGUAAGGCCUCGCGCGAUUAGAGCGGCCGAUGUCUGAUUAGCUUGUUGGUGAGGUAAAAGCUCACCAAGGCGAUGAUCAGUAGCUGGUCUGAGAGGACGAUCAGCCACACUGGGACUGAGACACGGCCCAGACUCCUACGGGAGGCAGCAGUGGGGAAUUUUGGACAAUGGGGGCAACCCUGAUCCAGCAAUGCCGCGUGAGUGAAGAAGGCCUUCGGGUUGUAAAGCUCUUUUGUCAGGGAAGAAACAGCAGCUCUAACACAGUCUGCGAAUGACGGUACCUGAAGAAUAAGCACCGGCUAACUACGUGCCAGCCGCCGCGGUAA